GUAAGGUUUUGGGCCGUUCUCUGGAUUUGCGUGUGUCUCUAAAGUCAUGUGCAUUUUCCCUGGGGCUUUGGUGAUGAUGUGAGGAGAAAUGAGGUGGCAGGUGAACGUGGCAUCCCGUGAGUUCCCAGUUGUGUCCUGGCUGUGGGGCAGUCCCUCACGUGCCUAUAGGGGAGAGGCCUCUAGAAACUCACUUGGAUAGAGGGCUCCCUGGGCAUCUCCCUUCUGAGGACUGGGCUGUCAGCAGCGUGCUGUGUGGAAAGCACGUGGAUUUAGGCACCGGAGACUCUGGUUCCACCUCUGGGCCCGUGCAGCUCUGUGACCUAUUCUCAACCUCCAUUUCUUCACCUGAAAAGCAAAGCUGGGAUAGCAGAGAAGGUUUUUAAAAAAAUUUUCAUGGUGAUGUCGUGACCACAUGAUUCUGAUCAUUUCCAACCCAAAAGCAUUUCCAAUUUUUUACGCUGGAAGUGUCCCGGCUCCCUAUGGCAGGGAAGUUUUAUGGGGUCUUCACAGGACACAUCAGAAGCUACUGGGGCUCUCUGCUGGGCUGGGCCACUCUCCUCGACUCAGGCCAUGCCCCAGGUCCCUGGCACCAGCCUCCUGUCCUUUGUAGUUCUCUUUCUGUCCUUUUCUGCCCCUGCAUUCGAAAGUGAUUGUGGGCUGCCUGUGCCCUGGUCAUUGAUAGUGCAGGAAGAGCAAGUGCUGAAAGAUGUUUUCCCCGUGUUUGGAGGGUCCCAUCCGUCCCUUCCAAACCCUGAAGCUUUCCCACACUAGCUUUUCUCCUGCCCUUCCCCUCAGAGCUUGGGCCUUUGCUGGCCCCCAUGUGCUAUGAGGUGUUCCGUGGGAGGCAGAACCCUGUGAAGGUACCUUCAUCUGUAGACUCAGAAGAUGCUCCACGGUGCUUCUGACAGUUGUGUCUUGGCUCCCGGGUAACAGGUGAGGCGAGGUUGGAGGUGAGGUCAAAGUAUCUAUCCCAUUGAUCCUCCACUUUUGGUCCCAUGGCUCCUGUCUGGUUCCCAAGUCCUCUUCUGUCUACAUUCAGGACUCUUGUCUUUGAGGAUGGGGUCCUGUAUUUUGUUCCAUCUCAUGAGACGUGGAGGCAGUGAGAAUAAUAUGUGUGAACUACCUGGUACUCUGUAGCCACCUGAGAGCCCCCUGGUCUUUCAGACCUGCCUUCUGCCCCUUUUACAUCAGAGGCUUGUCCUGUUCCACAGCCUACUUCCUGGUCCUGCAGCUCCUCAGCCAGUCUGGAGGGUUUAAUGGACAAUGACGGUUUUGAAAAGACAGUUUAUCUUCCCCGACCCCAGACCUGGUCAGCCUUAUAUCCGGAGACUCUUGAAGGAAGUCCCAAGGCCAUGAGUCUGUGAUCCUCGGGGUGCCUUGAGAUCUGGGUUUGCUGAUAUUUCUCCCCUAGAUUCUCUUGGUGGUGGUCUUGGACACCAGAUGGGGCAGAGAAUGGAGAUUGAGGUCCCCACAUGAAGCGUCAUCAGAGCUCCUCCUCAUUGUCUGCUCAGAGCAUCAUGGAACAAGUGUUCAUUCUGCACAAGAGAUCAGAGGGAAAGCGCUGGGACUGGGGGCUUGGGGUCCACUUCAGCUGGCUCUGAGUCUUGAUACAGCAGUACCCUUAGAGGGCCAUGGACAGGGAAGGCCAGCCCCGUGUCCCUCUGCCAUGCAUGGAAUGACUUUAUUUUUUUUGAGGAAGAUUAGCCCUGAGCUAACUACUGCCAAUCCUCCUCUUUUUGCUGAGAAAGACUGGCCCUGAGCUAACAUCCAUGCCCAUCUUCCUCUACUUUAUACGUGGGACGCCUACCACAGCAUGGCUUUUGCCAAGAGGUGCCAUGUCUGCACCCGGGAUCCAAACAGGCGAACCCCAGGCCACGGAGAAGUGGAACGUGUGCACUUAAUCGCUGUGCCACCGGGCUGGCCCCAGGAAUGACUUUAAUAACCAAGAGUUUUUCUCUUGAAUUUGUAGCUACUCAUCACUUUCCUCUCCACUCCCCCAUUCAAUAAACCUUACACACUUCCUCCACCUGCCUUUUAAAUCAGUAACAAGCCACAUGCCAGCGAAGCUUGGCCUGGAGAAAGUGGGUCACAGACUAGAUCUUGUUUUCUGUCCUUGAGCCUUUCCUCUCGCACUCCUGAGGCUUGACACAUAGGCUGUUUUUUGAGGUGUUCACUUAGGGCCAGGAGGUGAACAAAUGCUGGUGGUUGGCUCAGAUUUAGGACCUGUGAGGGUUGAGAGUGUUGAGGAACAAGCCAGAGCUUUGGAAGGGUGGCCUGGAGGGAGACAAGUGCUGGUGUCAUCUGGGGAAGCUGGGAUGUCCUGGAGUUCUGGAGCCUGGCUCAUGAGUAAAUGCCUGCUUGUGUGACCAUCUGUCCUAGUUUGCUUGGAAUUGAGGGGUUUCCCAGGAUGUGGGAGUUUUCGUUGCUGAAACCAGGAAAGUCCCAGGCACACUGGGACAAGUUGGUCAGCUUAUCUAAGGUGUAAAAUACAUGGUGUCAACUUCAGAGGACAAGUUACUGUGUAAAGAUGGGAGCAGGGUGAGCACGGAGCAGCUCCCAUUGGUGGACAUUGGGAAUGUCCUCAAGGUCAGGCUCUUGGAGAUAAUUGGAGUAAAAUCAAUAAUUGCAACAGUGUGAUAAUGUGCUAAGGAUGUGCGUGCAUGAACUCUUUAAUCCCCAUUUUACAGAUGGAGGGGUCUAUAUGAAGGAAUGUGUCCCAAAGGCCAUGAUGAAAGGCUGGAGUUAGUUGUCCAACUGAAACCACUUUGGCUGAGCUGAGGCGGAGUUCUGCCUGGGAAGCCUUCCUUGAUGAGUUUGCCACCUUCAUGGUCUUCUCUGCUGGAGCAGGCAUUCUUCGUGGCUGAAAUGUUCACUCUGCCAGCCAGUUCCCGGCAGACGCAUCCAGAAGUCAAAAGUCCUUUUUCUACCUCGCCCCGAGGACUAUCCUCUGACUUCUGUUUGCCACCUUUAGUCAGCUGGUUGUAGCUGCCUAGAAAGGUGCCGAGAGAAGGGAUCUGGGUCCACUUGAGAAAGCUGUGACUGGUUGUUCAUGUGUGUUGCACACGUUUGUUUUUGAGCCGGACACCAAGCUAGAAAUAGGGGUACAAUAGUGAAUAAGAGUUUCUGCCCUCAAGGGAAUCACCA
rnacentral:lncRNA from 1 species